CGCACAUUGCGCCCUCUGGUACCCCGGAGGGCAUGCCUGUCCGAGCGUCGUUUCUCCCUCAAGCCCAAGGCUUGGUGUUGGGCUAGCCGUCGUAAAUCCUGCGUCCAGCGGGUUUUGAACGCGCCCCAAAUACCUCGUGCGGCGCCGCGUCGUCCAGGAGCGUAGCAGUGCUUUUCGCUCAUCGGCUCGCGUAGUGCCCGUCGUGAACAACGCUUACCACGAGUUGACCUCGGAUCAGGCAGGGAUACCCGCUGAACUUAA
rnacentral:misc_RNA from 1 species